GGGGUCUCCGCCGGUGCCAGCCUCUCCCGCGGGGCGAACCUGGUCACACCGUCAGCCUAGAGCUUCUAGCGAGGAGCCCCCGGGACUGAGCACUGAUGCAGGCGCUUACCACGUCCAGUUCCCUCCUGCCCUCCCGCAGGCUCUCCCUCACCAGAGCGCACCUAGAAGCAGAAGACUGAGCUUGAAAACCCGUCUGUCACAGCAUCUCCCCACUUCCUCCUCCUCAACUGCCAUUCAAACGCUUGUCCUGUUUAUAGAAGUAUAUGCCAAGCCCCAGUUCUUCCUUGCAGAGAGAGGACAGCUCCCUGGCGUGGAGAGGCGCAGGUGUUUCUAAUCAGACCUCCGCCAAGGUCCCUAUUGCUAUCUUCCAUUUUACCAAAUAAGCUUCUGAAGUCUGAUGCAAGUCUUGAUCAAUAAAAACUGAAAGAGGCCAACAC